AUCGCUUCUCGGCCUUUUGGCUAAGAUCAAGUGUAGUAUCUGUUCUUAUCAGUUCUCGGUGGGAGUCGUGCGGUGUAUGGGGCACCACCGAGAUUAGUUUUUUUCUUUUAGCCCCAACACCCAGCACUUUUUACCCAAAAGCCUUUCAAAGGCUAUAGCACUUGUGGAGCCCUUUUUAGGGCUCUGCAC
ensembl:snRNA U2 U2 spliceosomal RNA